rnacentral:rRNA from 1 species
UGAACGCUGGCGGCAUGCCUUACACAUGCAAGUCGAACGGUAACGGGCCUUCGGGUGCCGACGAGUGGCGAACGGGUGAGUAAUACAUCGGAACGUGCCCGAUCGUGGGGGAUAACGAGGCGAAAGCUUUGCUAAUACCGCAUACGAUCUACGGAUGAAAGCAGGGGACCGCAAGGCCUUGCGCGGACGGAGCGGCCGAUGGCAGAUUAGGUAGUUGGUGGGAUAAAAGCUUACCAAGCCGACGAUCUGUAGCUGGUCUGAGAGGAUGAUCAGCCACACUGGGACUGAGACACGGCCCAGACUCCUACGGGAGGCAGCGGUGGGGAAUUUUGGACAAUGGGCGCAAGCCUGAUCCAGCCAUGCCGCGUGCAGGAUGAAGGCCUUCGGGUUGUAAACUGCUUUUGUACGGAACGAAAAGCCUUCUUUUAAUACAGGAGGGUCAUGACGGUACCGUAAGAAUAAGCACCGGCUAACUACGUG